rnacentral:rRNA from 1 species
GACGAACGCUGGCGGCGUGCUUAACACAUGCAAGUCGAACGGAAAGGCCCUGCUUUUGUGGGGUGCUCGUGUGGCGAACGGGUGAGUAACACGUGAGUAACCUGCCCUUGAUUUUGGGAUAACUUCAGGAAACUGGGGCUAAUACCGGAUAGGAGCUCCUGCUGAAUGGCGGGGGGCGGAAAGGUUCGGCGGUAGGGGAUGGGGUGGCGGCUUAUGAGCUUGGGGGUGGGGUAGUGGUUGACCAAGGCUUUGACGGGUAGCCGGGCCGUGAGGGGGACCGGCAACGUUGGGACUGGGAUGCGGCCCAGACUCCAACCGGAGGGAAGAGAGGGGUAGAGUGCACAAUGGGAGGGAGGCUGCUGCAACAACGCCGCGUGCGGGAAAGCGGGCUUCGGGUUGUAAACCGCUUUCGCCUGUGACGAGGCGUGAGUGACGGUAAUGGGUAAAGAAGCACCGGCUAACUACGUG